rnacentral:rRNA from 1 species
UGCCAGCAGCCGCGGUAAUUCCAGCUCUGAAGGUGUAUACCACCGUUGUUGCGGUUAAAACGCUCGUAGUUGGAUCUACGUUCGUGGGGUCGGUGUUCUCGUUUGAGUUCUACUGACUACCUGAACUGAAACAGCUGGUUUUCCCUUGGUGCUCUUUAUUGGGUGCCCUGGGUGGCUAGCAAGUUUACUUUGAAAAAAUUAGAGUGCUCAAAACAGGCGCAUGCCUGAAUAGUGGUGCAUGGAAUAAUGGAAUAGGAUCUUGGUCCUAUUUUGUUGGUUUUCGGGAGCCAAGAUAAUGAUUAAGAGGGACAGACGGGGGCAUUCGUAUUGCAGCGUUAGAGGUGAAAUUCUUGGAUCGUUGCAAGACGAACAACUGCGAAAGCAUUUGCCAAGAAUGUUUUCAUUAAUCAAGAACGAAAGUUAGAGGUUCGAAGGCGAUCAGAUACCGCCCUAGUUCUAACCGUAAACGAUGCCAACUCGCGAUCUAGUGGUGUUAUUUAUGACCCGCUAGGGAGCGUCCCGGAAACGAAAGUUUUUCGGUUCCGGGGGAAGUAUGGUUGCAAAUCUGAAACUUAAAGGAAUUGACGGAAGGGCACCACCAGGAGUGGAGCCUGCGGCUUAAUUCGACCCAACACGGGAAAACUCACCCGGCCCGGACACCGUAAGGAUUGACAGAUUGAGAGCUCUUUCUUGAUUCGGUGGGUGGUGGUGCAUGGCCGUUCUUAGUUGGUGGAGCGAUUUGUCUGGUUAAUUCCGAUAACGAACGAGACUCUAUCCUACUAAAUAGCAAGCGGAUCAGCCCAGUCCGCAGUGCUUCUUAGAGGGACAAGCAGCUUUUAGCUGCACGAAAGUGAGCAAUAACAGGUCUGUGAUGCCCUUAGAUGUCCGGGGCUGCACGCGCGCUACACUGAAAGGAUCAGCGUGCAAGAUACCUUCCCCGAGAGGGGUGGGUAACCCAAUCAAAACCUUUCGUGAUUGGGAUAGGAGAUUGCAAUUAUUCUCCUUGAACGAGGAAUUCCCAGUAAGUGUGGGUCAUCAGCUCGCGCUGAUUACGUCCCUGCCCUUUGUACACACCGCCCGUCGCUGCCCGGAACUGAGCCGUUUCGAGAAGAACAGGGACUGCUGUUUGGUGGCCUUCGGGUUGCCUCUUGGCGGAAACUGUUUU